CUUCUCUCGCGAAUCGCAUUGCCAUGACAGCCGCAUUCCCACCGAUUGUCGAAUAAGACGAAGGAAACGAACGCGCCUUUGACACCAGUUCGUCGAACAGAGUUCUGUUCGCCAUGUAUCGUCUACAAGAAAAUUGUCGACAAUAACGGAUAUUUCGUACAAGCCACAUCUGGAGCUCGGCUAGGACUUACUCGGCAGCGGCACCAUGGCGAAAAUAAUAGGCGAAGCUCUUCAGUAACUCAAGCUCGGUGUUGAUCUCGUCGAAAUGCUCAGGCCGGCCGACCUCAUCCGAGUAUCUGAGCAGAUGCUUCGCGUCGAUGAACACGUCAGUGCAAACGCCAUAACCUAUCGCGACUUUCGGCCUUCUAGUGAUCACGUGCUUGCUCUCGAGCCUUUCGAGGCCGUGCAGCAAAGUUAGCAGACGCUUUUGCAGCACGUCGUCGGUGUUGCGAUAGUAUAUCGCCACCAGCACGAUCACCACGGUGAAAAACGUGCCGAGACCUAACCCCCUUCUAUACCCCAUUUCUACCGAUACAAACCGCGUUGCGCUGCACACGCGACUGUCGCGCGUUCUCGCGCAGCUUUAUGUACAUUUUCUGAGUAGCUGCGCAGUUUCGCGAUAACUAUAGAUAUUUGAUAAUGACUAGACGAGGUCAACAGUCAUUCGACGUUGACACUCGCGAAGUCAUAUUCGCCAGUCAUUUCGCGCUCUUGUUCAAAAGUCGAAUCCAAUUAAUGCACAGCAUUUAUGUAAAAGAAGAAACUGCUUUUAUUGCAUAUGUUUCUCAUAUAUUGCAGCGGUGAACUUACAUAUGUACUCGGAGCUUAUCGAGCUUACAAAGUGUACUGCUUUGCUAUCGUCAAGAUUUACUCGAAAGCUUUGAUUAUUAAUUUAUUGAGCAAUAAGUAUGAACAUGUUAUGACCAAAUAUUGUCCCUACACAGCAGAGAUAUCCAAAAUAUAUCAUAAAGACCUAAAGAUAUAUUUGGGAUAUGUGAUAUCUUCAAGAUAUCCUUAUGAUGUAUUUGGGACAUUCCUGCUGUGUGGGUCUCUUAGUUUAGUGUCCUUCCUUUAAAUACUUAUUUUAAAGACAGGACAGAUUUCAGUACAUUUACUUAAAAAAAAAAAAGCAAUUCAUUAUAUUAU